rnacentral:lncRNA from 1 species
AACUGAACGGUUCCAGCGAGUUGCUCCGAUCGGAAAUCGGGACGAGCGAAUCCGUAAUCGGCGUCGUUACUGCCGCCUCCGCCGAGCAAGCUCUCGCUUUGGAAGCUCCCGGAGCGAGAAGUGGGCUCGCCGAAGUUGUCGAGGUAAUCGGAUACGGUGACCGGAGAGGAAGCCGAUGAUGGGUUGCUGGUGAAGGAUAAAGGGUCGUCUCUGUCUCUUCCACUUGCCAUUUAAAGUUCGAAACUUUUGAUAGAUCGAAACUGAAAACUCUGGAGACGAGAGAGAGAGAGAGAGAGAAGUGAAUGUUUCAGUUUCAGUGGUGAUUCUCUACUGAGAGGUCCCAAAGUCUUCUUUUAACUCUGGUUAUGUACUAACCGAUAUUCUAUUUUGCAAUCGAGCCGGUAAAGUCUUCGGUUUACCUCAUUAACUAAAGGGAGCUUCUAUGACUCCUACUUCUUUAGCACUCAAUAAGCUUAGUUAAGUUACUUUAAAGCAGUUUUGCAUUCUUAUGUUGAUUUCUAAAAGAGAAAACUUUGAUACAUUGAAAGAAACUGAUCUUAGGUUCCUGUGUUAGAUGUUCUUUGUUAACCAAUAUGUUAUGUACUGUGUAGGUCUACAACAGAACCAUCGUCGCUUGAGGAGGAGGGAUAAAGGCAGCGGUUGAGGACGGGUAGACGUAGACGCAUGCACCGCUGCUGGGAUUGGUCGUCACGACCAUCCCGUCGCCACCAAAAAAGCAAGACUGGUCUGUGCAACUAUAGAUCUGGUAGUACAGGUUCAUUACGACGCCGGCUCGGCCAAGAAGAUCCCGGCUUUGGUAGACACCAUUUCGGGCUUUGAAUCUCACCAUCGUCAGGAUUAGCACCCACUGUGAGCAGGAAAAGAAGAAUAAGAGGUACGACAUCUUUGCUUGCUGGGUAUCUGUGAUUGGAUUUUUUUUUUGUUCUUUGUUAGGUUGUUUAGUCAUUCAGUAAAAAAUCUGUAAAUUAAUAAUAUUGGGACUAUGAUAUGUUAUUAAUUUAUAGAGUUAAUAAUUUACAAAAAGUUUUUUUUAGAUUUUUUAUUUUAGAAUAUAUGUUUUUAUAAAAUAAACAAAAUAAUUGGUUUUACCGUAUAUACACUAAUUGAAAAUUUUAAAUUAGACUUUCACGUUAUUUUAUUGUAUUAUUUGGUGUAUAUAAAAUAUAAUUUAUAAAAAUUUAAAUGUGGUUUAGAUAUAAUUUUACUAAAUAUAAGCAAAAAUAUUGAAAUGUUAAAAAAAUAUAUAGAUAAUUAUAUUGUGAAAUAAAGCAAAUAAUGCAAUUUUUUUUGUACUUAUAUAAAAUGUAGAUAUACAAAAAUUAUUAAUUUAUGAUUUCAAUGGAACCAUAUAUUUACAUAGAAAUUUCUAUCAUAUUAUUAUUUUAUUAUUUUAUCGAUUUUUAUCAUAUUCUGAACCAGCCCAACUCGGGAGCAGAAACAUUUAUUAGUUUAUAGUGUUUAUUAAUUUAUUGAGUUUCUACUGUAUGUUGUUGAUUGUAAUCGACAGUUAAGAUCAGUGAAGGAAAAAAUGUGUCAGUAUCCAUCAAGAAUCAGGUUCCAAACCUUCAUCUUUAGCUAGGCUUAACUUGAUUUGUCAGUAGACCGUCUACUAAUAGAGCACAGCAGCCAUAAUGGUUUAAGCCUGAACAAGUGUUAUUAGUUCUCCAUGCUUAGCCAUUGGUGUGUAUUUGUAGUGUCACAUUGCAAAACAAUCUGGUUAAGGUCCGAUUACGGAUUAGGCUGUUGAAACUUUUACUGCUUAUAAAGUUUUUACAGCCACAAUAUGUAGCCAAUCAGAGUUCGUUCUAAAACCUUCAAAGUCAUUUUUAUUAAACUUUAUCUUGUUACGUUCAGGUUUUACAAUAGCCAGUAUUUAGUGGCUUUAGACUUUUUUUUAAGUAACAGUCAACUUCUUAAAGCCCAAAGUUUAUGAAGUAAACGUUUAUGAAAGCCACAGUCACAACAAUUGUAAACAGUCACAGAAGUACUCUAAUUGUAACAGCAGCAACAGUUUCAAUCCUUUACGUAUGUCUUUAUAUUCACAUACCAACAUGAAAACAAAAAGGGAAGCAAGGUAAUCAUAUUUAUUCAUUUAUUACCCUUGACCUCCUCCUUUGUACCCGAAGAAGGAAACUAAAAGAAAACUGGACAAUGUCUGAAAAGUAAGCCUCACAAAUCAAACGACAAUCCAAGGAGGCUUUUAUGCUAAAUGGUAUAUGUAUAUUUUACAAGCAACCCUAUCCUUUGGCUAUGCAAGCAGCUAAACUUCCUCUUGUCUCUACCAAAAGUAAAACUGGUUUGCGCAAUCCAGACUCAAACAAAACAACAACAAAAUAUUACAUCCACAGUUUUUAACUUAUAAAUUUGCACUAUGCAUAUCAGGCAACAGUGCCUGUGAUUAAAUGGUUGGCUAGAGAGAGAGAGAGAGAGAGAGAAAAAAAAAAAAGAGAGACGGUAUGUGACUAAAAAGAAGUUUAGGUUUCACCUCCUCAGCACCAGCAGACCCUCCUGCUUUCUCCUUCUCUGCAUAAACUCCUUUCUUCACCUCCUCAGCACCAGCAGACCCUCCUGCUUUCUCCUUCUCUGCACUCUCUUCUUUCUUCUCCUCCUGAGCACCAGUAGACCCUCAUGCUUUCUCCUUCUCUGCACUCGCUUCUUUCUUCACCUCCUCAGCAUCAGCAGACCCUCCUGCUUUCUCCUUCUCUGCAUGAUCUCCUUCCUUCACCUCCUCAGCAACAGCAGACCCUCCUGCUUUCUCCUUCUCUGCAUUCUCUUCUUUCUUCUCCUCCUCCUCAGCAGAAGCAGACCCUACUGCUUUCUCCUUCUCUGCAUCAUCUUCUUUCUUCUCCUCCACUUCCUCUUGUUCAUCAACCUCUUCUGCUAAUUUGGUGAGCUCGCUUUGGAUCAUCACCUUUAUAGAUGACUUUCUUGGGGUGAGAUCUUCUUUGAAGUCCUUACCUGAGAUAUGGGUGAAACAAUAUAUAUAUUACAUAUUUUACAUACAUAAAACAGAAUCUAACCACAAAGAAAUUAAUGAAACCAAUCUGUUCAUACCCAGUUCUUUGAGGAUGUCCGUGAAUGUAGCCUGAAGAAUAACAACAAUGAUCAACCAUAAGGUUAUCUAGGUAUAAAAGGUAUAUAUAGUUUGUAUAGAUAUUUUACAACAAACUCUAAAUAGCUUUCAGAAAAUGCAGAAUGCCAUUAAAAGGUUGAGAAAGUAACUCACCGUAUUAAAAUCCACCCUUUUCAAAAUCUCAACGAUCGCUUUUUUCAGCACUUUAUCGCUUGGCCCUUUGGUUUUCUCUUUUCCUUUUCCAGCACUUUUCACUUCUAGCAUAAGCAAAAACACAGAUAAAAAAAUGAUGUCAGAAAACAUUAGUGGCUGCAGUAUAAGUUAGCUUCUGCAAAUGGAGUUCAUCAAGGCAUAAGAUUCUCUCCAAUGCAUCAGAUAAACCCCUACACUCACACACACAUGAUGUAUUCUACCUGACCGAUUAUCUUUACUGGAAGACAAAAAUAAACAGGAUAAAAUCCAAACCUGGCUUCUCUUUUGAAGGGGCUGGGGCCUUGGUAGCUUUUUCAGACUUCUUCCAAUAAGUACAUCACCAUUGGAUGUCUCUGUUCCAUCGUGGCCCUCGCAUAUUGUGAGUCGAGUCUACAAAUGGCAAGGCACAUAGGUUAAAAAAAGAUAUUCAUGACUGAUGCAAAGAUCACAAGAAGCCACACCCUAAGAGUAAGCAAUCUACUAUCAUAAAUCAGAGACACCAAUGACAUAAAGGCUCGAAAGCUGGCUUGUAUGUUCUAUGAUCCCAUAUUGAACAGUAUAGACAAAUUCUUUACAUGUUGCUAUUAUAUAGAUUCUUACCAUAAAUAGACACUUUACCUUAACUGACCCAUACCAAACCCCAACAGUCCAAGGAUAAGAAUGAUUUUGAUGAUCCAUUUAAAAGAACUUAAACAGAUUAUACCUUAACUAACCCAAAACAACAGAAAGCAAGUCUUUUUUUAUUUUACCAUAAAGAUCUCAAAAUGAGUAAAAUGAGCUCAAAUAACAAACCCAUUGGAAUCAAUCAGACCUAAAUACAUAUAUGAAUCAAGCAACACUCUAUUCAAGUUAACAUCAAACUCACCUCCUUCUUCAUGCUGCCUUUCCUGGCCGAUACGGCGGCAGAGAGCAGCCUAGGCAACCGAUCGAACUCCGCCGCCUCGAUCCUGGCGGGCCACACGGAAGGCUUUUUGUAGCAGAGGAAAACAUGCCUCUCGUAGAACUGAACGGUCCCAGCGAGUUGCUCCGAUCGGAAAUCGGGACGAGCGAAUCCGUAAUCGGCGUCGUUACUGCUAUCUCCGCCGCCUCCGCCGAGCAAGCUCUCGCUUUGGAAGCUCCCGGAGCGAGAAGUGGGCUCGCCGAAGUUGUCGAGGUAAUCGGAUACGGUGACCGGAGAGGAAGCCGAUGAUGGGUUGCUGGUGAAGGAUAAAGGGUCGUCUCUGUCUCUUCCACUUGCCAUUUAAAGUUCGAAACUUUUGAUAGAUCGAAACUGAAA